rnacentral:tRNA from 1 species
GCCCGGGUGGCUCAGUGGGUUAAGCGUCCGACUUUGGCUUGGGUCAUGAUCUCACGGUUUGUGAGUUCAAGCCCCACAUCGGGCU